GGAGAAAUUAUGAGCGAGAGCCUGACACCUGAUGCUGGCGGCUUUUGUCUCGCCAAGUUGACCCAUUAUUUGGCCACCUUGUGCGGCGUGUGACUAUGGUGUCCGGGUAUAUAUAUGUAUUACCUGAAAGCUGAGGGCAGUUGUUGCCUUGGAUCAUGCAGAGAGUAUGCAGCCACACCCAUGCCUUAGAUGUGUGUAAUUCAAGUGGAGAAGACACAAGCCAGUGGUCACAAUAUCAACACUUGAGUGUUCUGUAAACGGAUUGGUGUCAGCAGAAAACCAACAGUGAUGUGGUGGCACACAGUGAACUGACCAGACCCAGGCAGCAGCAGCUCUUUUGGUGGCACGUCAUGGGUACUCUCCUUGCUAAUGGCAGAUACCGACAGGCAAACUGUUACCUUGCGUUUAGCUCUGUUAGCCAUUGACAGUAAGAUUUAUCAGAGGUUGCAGCCACACAUGGCCAUGAGGUAAACCCUGCCCCUGGCUGAACUUGAGUUUCAUCAGCUUCUACGUGGGAUUGGAAGGACUUGGAAUAUAUCACAAACCCAGCAGGGUUCCCCCCUCUUUUUUUUUUUUUUUUUUUUUAAGAUUGAUUUUUCUUCCUAAAGAUAACAUGCUUAAACAAAGUUCUUUAUGGUUAGUAACUGUGAUGCUUGAAGUUGGUUAUCCCUUACUCCAGUAAAUUUUAAAUGUCAAAGAUAUCUUGUUAAAUAAAAAAAAAG
rnacentral:lncRNA from 1 species